rnacentral:rRNA from 1 species
GCCCGUUUUUUCAAAAACAUUGCCUCAUGAAAUAUUUAUAUGAGGUAAUUUCUGCCCAGUGAUAAUUUUUAACGGCCGCGGUAUCUUGACCGUGCAAAGGUAGCAUAAUCAUUUGCCUCUUAAUUAGAGGCUAGUAUGAAUGAAUCAACAAGUAUUUGCUUUCUUUCUUUUAACCUUAUAAAUUAUCCUCUAGGUGAAGAGACCUAGAUUUAGUUAAAAGACAAGAAGACCCUAUCAAGCUUUAUUUAAUAAAUUCUUAUUAAAUUUUUAAAAUUUUAUUGGGGCAAUAUAAAAUUAUAACCAACAUUUUUAAACCAAAGAAGUAUACUUCAUUUUCAACAACUUAAUAUUAAAUAAAAGAUAUGCUACUGUAGGGAUAACAGGCUAAUAUUUCUCAAGAGCCCUUAUCAACAGAAAUGAUUGGCACCUCGAUGUUGGCUUAAGAAUCCUUAUUUAAGCAUAAAUAAAUAAAGGAGGUUUGUUCAACCUUUAAAUUCUUACAUGAUCUGA